UUUCUCACGGUCCACGAUACUAUUUCAUAGAUCGGAGCGCGAUCGGAGGGCCCAAGGACGUCCCGGUCUUGAUCCGAUAGUCUAGGACUUGAUUUGGGUUGAUUAAGGACUCCUAAACCUAAUCUAAGUCAUGUUUAACACUUUUAAAAGGGUCUGUGACGCAGAGGAAAACAGUGGAUCCGAUUUUUUGCUGAAGUUGCGCCGUACAGAGCAGUACAGGACCCAGA
rnacentral:lncRNA from 1 species